rnacentral:rRNA from 1 species
UACCGGCACCCCAAGUGGUCGUCGCUUUUAUUGGGCCUAAAACGUCCGUAGCCUGUUUGGUAAACCCGUGGGUAAAUCAACAUGCUCAACAUGUUGACUUCUGCGGAGACUGCCAGACUAGGGACCGGGAGAGGUGUGGGGUACUCAUGGGGUAGGGGUAAAAUCCUGUCAUCCCAUGAGGACCACCUGUUGCGAAGGCGCCACACUGGAACGGAUCCGACGGUCAGGGACGAAGCCUAGGGGCACGAACC